UGCCCGACUCCUACGGGAGGCAGCAGUGGGGAAUAUUGCACAAUGGGGGAAACCCUGAUGCAGCGACGCCGCGUGAGCGAUGAAGUAUUUCGGUCUGUAAAGCUCUAUCAGCAGGGAAGAAAAUGACGGUACCUGACUAAGAAGCCCCGGCUAACUACGUGCCAGCAGCCGCGGUAAUACGUAGGGGGCAAGCGUUAUCCGGAUUUACUGGGUGUAAAGGGAGCGUAGACGGCGGUGCAAGCCAGAUGUGAAAGCCCGGGGCUCAACCCCGGGACUGCAUUUGGAACUGUGCUGCUAGAGUGUCGGAGAGGCAGGCGGAAUUCCUAGUGUAGCGGUGAAAUGCGUAGAUAUCAGGAGGAACACCGGCGGCGAAGGCGGCCUGCUGGACCGUGACUGACGUUGAGGCUCGAGAGCGUGGGGAGCAAACAGGAUUAGAUACCCGGGUAAC
rnacentral:rRNA from 1 species